rnacentral:rRNA from 1 species
AGCAGCCGCGGUAAUUCCAGCUCCAAUAGCGUAUAUUAAAGUUGUUGCAGUUAAAAAGCUCGUAGUUGAAUUUCGGGGUUAGUAGGUUGGUCAUGCCUCUGGUAUGUACUGGGCUCACUGAUUCCUCCUUCCUGAUGAACUGUAAUGCCAUUAAUUUGGUGUUGCAGGGAAACUGGACUGUUACUUUGAAAAAAUUAGAGUGUUUAAAGCAAGCUAACGCUUGAAUACAUUAGCAUGGAAUAAUGAAAUAGGACGUUCGAUCCUAUUUCGUUGGUUUCUAGGAUUGACGUAAUGAUUAAUAGGGAUAGUUGGGGGCAUUAGUAUUCAAUUGUCAGAGGUGAAAUUCUUGGAUUUAUUGAAGACUAACUACUGCGAAAGCAUUUGCCAAGGAUGUUUUCAUUAAUCAAGAACGAAAGUUAGGGGAUCGAAGACGAUCAGAUACCGUCGUAGUCUUAACCAUAAACUAUGCCGACUAGGGAUCGGAUGAUGUUAAUUUUUAAUGA